UCCCUGGUGGUCUAAUGGUUAAGACUCUGCACUUCUAAUGUAGGGAGUACAGAUAUGAUCUCUGGUCAGAGAA
rnacentral:tRNA from 1 species